CCCUACGGGGGGCGGCAGUGGGGAAUUUUGGACAAUGGGCGAAAGCCUGAUCCAGCAAUGCCGCGUGUGUGAAGAAGGCCUUCGGGUUGUAAAGCACUUUUGUCCGGAAAGAAAUCCUUGGCUCUAAUACAGUCGGGGGAUGACGGUACCGGAAGAAUAAGCACCGGCUAACUACGUGCCAGCAGCCGCGGUAAUACGUAGGGUGCGAGCGUUAAUCGGAAUUACUGGGCGUAAAGCGUGCGCAGGCGGUUUGUUAAGACCGAUGUGAAAUCCCCGGGCUCAACCUGGGAACUGCAUUGGUGACUGGCAAGCUAGAGUAUGGCAGAGGGGGGUAGAAUUCCACGUGUAGCAGUGAAAUGCGUAGAGAUGUGGAGGAAUACCGAUGGCGAAGGCAGCCCCCUGGGCCAAUACUGACGCUCAUGCACGAAAGCGUGGGGAGCAAACAGGAUUAGAUACCCUGGUAGUCCACGCCCUAAACGAUGUCAACUAGUUGUUGGGGAUUCAUUUCCUUAGUAACGUAGCUAACGCGUGAAGUGACCGCNNGGG
rnacentral:rRNA from 1 species